rnacentral:rRNA from 1 species
CCCUUAGAUGUUCUGGGCCCCACGCGCGCUACACUGAUGCAUUCAACGAGUCUAAAACCUGCUCUGAUAGGGGUGGGUAAUCUUUUGAAUGUGCAUCGUGAUUGGGAUAGAUGAUUGCAAUUUUUCAUCUUCAACGAGGAAUGCCUAGUAAACGCAAGUCAUCAGCUUGCAUUGAUUACGUCCCUGCCCUUUGUACACACCGCCCGUCGCUCCUACCGAUUGAAUGAUCCGAUGAAUAUCAUGGAUUGAGGAUUAUAGCAGGUUCGCCUGUCUUGAUCUUCGAGAAGUGAAGUAAAUCUUAUCAUUUAGAGGAAGGAGAAGUCGUAACA